rnacentral:sRNA from 1 species
GCCAUUCCUCCCCCGCUUGAAAGACGGGGGCAUCCUGGCCCGCUUUGGUGAUCAAGCUUCCUACCGCGGUAGAAGGGGCGAAGCGCAGAACUUCACCCAGUUCGUGAACCUGAUGAGCUAGUGACAGGGAAAGCCUGCUCUAGUUCCCUGCUCUAUUAUCAGUAGUUAAAAGUCCCGGUGGGUCGGGGCGGUGCUGCUGACACAACAAGCCGGUUGAAUGUUGGUGAAGGGCACCGUACUUCUGUGCGGAG